UGCGAGCGUUGUCCGGAAUCAUUGGGCGUAAAGGGCGCGUAGGCGGCCUGUUAAGUCGGACGUGAAAUCCCUCGGCUCAACCGGGGAACUGCGUCCGAUACUGGCGGGCUUGAAUUCGGGAGAGGGAUGUGGAAUUCCAGGUGUAGCGGUGAAAUGCGUAGAUAUCUGGAGGAACACCGGUGGCGAAGGCGGCAUCCUGGACCGACAUUGACGCUGAGGCGCGAAAGCCAGGGGAGCAAACGGG
rnacentral:rRNA from 1 species